rnacentral:tRNA from 1 species
GCCUGGGUGGCACAGUGGUUGAGCGUCUGCCUUCGGCUCAGGGCGUGAUCCCGGUGUUGUGGGAUCGAGCCCCACAUCAGGCU